UACGUAGGGUGCAGGCGUUAAUCGGAAUUACUGGGCGUAAAGCGUGCGCAGGCGGUCUGCUAAGAGAGGUGUGAAAUCCCCGGGCUUAACCUGGGAACUGCGCUUCUAACUGGCAGGCUUGAGUGUGGCAGAGGGGGGUGGAAUUCCACGUGUAGCAGUGAAAUGCGUAGAGAUGUGGAGGAACACCGAUGGCGAAGGCAGCCCCCUGGGCUAACACGUGACGCUCAU
rnacentral:rRNA from 1 species